rnacentral:rRNA from 1 species
UUGACAAGUUUCCGUGGUACCAGGGAGGAUCAUA